GUAAAAGGAUCCUAGCCUAGGAGCUGGCGGGGCUCAUUGAAAGGUCUUUAAAUUAGGUAGGAAGGGGGAAGGGGACAAAAUGAGGGCUGCUGAGGUUGUGCAGGCAGUUUGAGGUUCAAAAGAUAACUUGAUGGGUGAUGAAGGUGGAGUUUGAAGGGAUAGAGAAUGGCAGGGGAAUGCUGCUUUCCUUAAGUGUCUGUACACUAACGCGCACAGUAUGGGAAAUAAACAGGAAGAGUUGGAGAUCUGCAUGCAGUCGCAUGGCUACAAUCUCAUUGUGAUUACGGAGACGUGGUGGGACAGCUCGCAUGACUGGAAUGUUGUCAUGGAGGGCUAUGUGCUUUUUAGGAAAGAUUGGCCGGUGAGGCGGGGAGGUGGAGUUGCUCUUUAUGUGAGAGAGCAGCUAGAAUGUAUUGAACUCCACCUGGGGGAGAGUGGUGUAGCAGUGGAGAGCUUGUGGGUGAGAAUCAAGGGGCGGGCUGGUAUGGCUGACACUGUUGUGGGAGUGUAUUACAGACCCCCUGAUCAGGAAGAGGAGGUUGAUGAGGCCUUCCAUAAGCAACUGGAAGCAGCAUCACGAUCCCAGGAGCUGGUGCUUAUGGGAGACUUCAAUUAUCCAGAUAUUUGCUGGAUAAGCAAUGUGGCCAGGCACGCGCAGUCCAGACGGUUCCUGCAAUGUGUCGAAGACAACUUUCUGAUGCAGGUGGUUGAGGAACUGAUGAGGGGAGGGGUGUUGCUGGACCUUAUUCUCACUAAUAGAGAAGGGCUUGUCAGGGAAAUAAAGGUCGGGGGUAGCUUGGGUUGUAGUGACCACAAGAUGGUUGAGUUCAAGAUCUUGAGUGGAAGGAGCAAAGCAAAAAGUAGGAUUUCUACCCUGGACUUUACGAAAGCCAAUUUUGAUCUCUUCUGGGACCUACUUGGAGCUAUCCUGUGGGCUAGGGUGUUAGAAGGUAAGAGGGCCUGUGAGAGCUGGUCGGCAUUUAAACAGCUCUUCUUCCAAGCUCAGGAUCGGUGCAUACCUGUGAGUAAGAAAUCGGGAAAGGGUAGCAGGAGACCUGUGUGGAUGAGCAAGGAGCUCGUGCGCAAACUCAAAGGAAAGAAGAAGGCCCAUGAAAUGUGGAAUAAGGGUCUGACCACUUGGGAAGAAUAUAGAAAUGUUGUCAGGGCCUGCAGGGAUGCGACAAGGAAGACUAAAGCCCUCCUGGAAUUAAACCUGGCAAGGGUGAUAAAGGAUAAUAAAAAAGGCUUUUUUUAAGUAUGUUAACAGUAAAAGGAAGACUAGGGAGAAUGUGGCUCCCCUGAUUAGUGACGGGGGUGUUCUGGUAACGGGGGAUGCUGAGAAGGCGGAGAUACUGAACACCUUCUUUGCUUCUGUCUUCAGUGAAAAAACUCCCCCUCGGGAAUCCGAGACUCUGGGAGGUUAGUGAAAG
rnacentral:lncRNA from 1 species